AUUAGUUGCCAAACAUCCUUGUCAAAGCCUGAUCUUGUCUGAACUCAGUCAGCAGGACUGGGUCUGGUUAGUACUUGGAUGGGAGACCGCUGGGAAUACCAGGUACCACAGGGG
rnacentral:rRNA from 1 species